rnacentral:lncRNA from 1 species
GAAUAGCAUACCAAUUGGUUCCAGAUUCAAUUUCGACUUCGAGGGUUGAGGAGGGAAUACCGCGCGCCUUCUGCGAUUGUUGAGGGAAAUUGAAGGCAGCGCCGGCCACGUCGCCGGCACCUCUUCCCACCGGCGCAUCUUACCCACGUCGCCAGUCUACUGCGCCUGAGCGCCUUCGGCCUUGAGUCCGCGCCUGAGUCCCUUCGGCCUUGAGUCCGCGCCUAAGCUCCUGAGCAAUCUGAUAGCAAGUCCCUUUGCGGCGGUCCAGCAAUCGAAAGCUGCUGACAGAUUCCAGAUUCUUUGAAAGGUUAGCUCCACAGUUCGGCCUUUCUCUUCAUUUUGUUUGAUUUCAUCCGUAACAGCAUUCGAAAAGUGCCAGAUUCUUAUGUUUGAAUAUUGAGAAGAUUUAAGUUUGUAUUCUUAUCUUAAGCUGCCAGAUUUGAGAAGAUUCGAAUACUGCCAGAUUUUUUGUUCUGUGUAAAUUAGGUUCUUAAGCUGCCAAAUUUGAGUAAGUGUUAAAUUAGGGCUUUUGCCAGCUAUAGAUAGUUAGCUUCAUUUUUUAAGGGAAAAGUGACGAUUUUAUUUAGUUUUGUGCAACUUCGUGGGAGAGGUCUGCUUAAGCAUUUCAAUUCAUCCGGUAUGGCCGAAUUCACAAUUUAAUUAUAAUAUAAUUAAAUUCAUGGUGUGAUCUCUGGCCAUCUUAGCACUAAAAGUUGGAUUUUUCAAAUUUUGAGCUAUCUUUGUAGUAACACAUCCGAAUAAUUAGGCCUUUUUAUGGAUGGAUGUUAAAUUUUCAAAGAGAAAUUUCCUUGGUUAUAGUAUUGUUAUGAAUCAUGAUUAUGAUCAGUUUUGCAAAAUGCAACCAACUUACGAACAAUAAAAUCUCUUCUCAUAACUAAGGAAAUCAGCAAACAUCACAGAUCCUGCAAACACCAAAAUUUCCAAAGGUAAGUAAACACUUACUUUGGUUAGUAUAUAUUUAUAGUUUUAUCGGAUUUAUCAAUACAUGUUUUGAUUUUUAUUUUCUACAAAACAGGUUCCUCAUAAGAACAAUGAAAAAGCUUACAAAAUCUGCAAUAAUCCAGAGCAUUAGUACCAGAAAUAAUACAUUUAAUUCAGGUACUAUAUGACCGCCCAAAAUGCAGUAUACAACAUAUUUAUUCAUUACUUGAAUAUUUACUCCACAUAUUAUGUUCAUUUUUAUUCACAAAACAGAGACUCCAACAUCAGGAACAUUAAAAGACUUACUCGGUCAACUGUGAUUCGCGG